AUGUUGUUAACUGUUGUAGCUGCAAUAUUUGAGGCUUGCUGGGCCAAUGAGCCCUGGAAGUUGGAAAUUGCCUUCUUUUGCCAGCAUUAUGGAUUCUUUGAGAUGCAUUUGAUACUGAGAGCAACUUGUCGAGUCGAAACUCUGAUGAAACUUAAACCUGAGGGUGGUUCCAGUGUAUCACAAGAAUAUGGACAACAUAAUACCAUCUUCAAGAAGGCUUAG